ACUGAAUCCUUGGACGGUACCCAUUUUAUGUUCUUAAGUGAAAAUGCUUGCUUCACUGUGUGUCUGAAAGAAUACGAAAUCGAUGGCAUCGUCUAGGACUUCCCACAUAGACAAGAUAAACGAAAGUCUUCCACGGACAGAGUUAACAUAAAGUCUCGUAUAUAGACAAGUAAAAAGGAAAAUAAAGGAAGGAAAACAAAGAAACGAAAUCAAGGCAAAACCAGAGGAAUUAGAAGGAAAAAGCUGUUUGAAAGAAAAUAAAGGCAAUACACUAAUUUGAUGGACUAGGCAGGAAACUGAAAGGUAAGGCAGAGCGAGAUGGUGAGUAACGUGUGGAGAAAAUAUAAUAACAGCCAGUGGCAUUCUCCACGCUGUCCAUAUUCAAAUAUUCGAAUAUUGCCCACUAUUUCCCCCCCUCCUUUCCCGGUGGACGUUCCUAGAGGACUCUCUCUGUGGCUAUCUCCAACAAUGAGUGUUCUUUUUCUUUUUUCCUUUGAGAAUAAAAAGAGCUGAUUUUCUGGAAGGAUGUCAAGUUGCUGUAGACUGGGAUUGGAAGGCAGGCCGACUGGCGAUACAGCGGGGUCAGGGUCUGGACAGCAAUCUGUCAUGAAGCAAAGCCUGUCAUAGACAGCCCUGGAGAUGCAGACAAAGACGCUGGACUAUUAUUUUCCAGAGGGAGCCUUUAAAGCACCUUGGGGCCGAAGCUCUGCACGGGCCCUGGGCUUCCACGCUGGACCACCUGCCAGGAACUGUGCGUCAGGCUGACCUCUCCCACCCAAUGUGAAUAACUUCCGAGAGGUAGUCCCCACAUAAGGGCAGGGGCUGCAAGCUGGCAAAGAAAGAGAAGAGAUUUAUAGCUCUAGAAUAUCUCUCUCUUUUGAAAAUGAAAUGGCCCGUUAGCAGGGGAGAGGGGCUUGGCUGAAAGAGCCUAUCCCCAGGCAUGACCAGUUCAGCCUUCAUUACCCAGUGCAAAAGCUUGGGUGGGUCCAGGCCAGUCUGUGGAGGAAAGAAAGGAUUGGUGUGUUUAGUAACAGACAAGAAGAGGCUCCCUCAAGACUUCUUUGAUCCAUUUUUUAAAAGACUUAUCCUGUAUGAUUUUUUUCCCAGAAGAUGGUGUUUGCCUGGGGGCCAUAACCACCACAGGCCAGGCAUCAUACCAGCAUGAAACACUCAUGUUAUGUUCUACUCCAAAGUAUAUUGAAAUCUGGAAAAGAACUCUGUCUACCAUUAAAAAUAUCCUCCCAAUAAAGAGAAGACAAGUUUUUGGGUCUUUUGUGGUCAUUUUGAUUCUUCCAAUCUCAAAGAAAUUGCUUAGAAUCUUGAAAACCCUGAUUAUUAUUUUAACUACUAAAAAAGACCAGCUAUUUAAAAAAAUAGGAUGAUG